GAUGAACGCUAGCGACAGGCUUAACACAUGCAAGUCGAGGGGCAGCAUAAAAGUAGCAAUACUUUGGUGGCGACCGGCGCACGGGUGAGUAACGCGUAUGCAACCUACCUAUCAGAGGGGAAUAACCCGGCGAAAGUCGGACUAAUACCGCAUAAAACAGGGGCACCGCAUGGUGAUAUUUGUUAAAGAGAUUCGCUGAUAGAUGGGCAUGCGUUCCAUUAGGUAGUUGGUGAGGUAACGGCUCACCAAGCCGACGAUGGAUAGGGGAACUGAGAGGUUGGUCCCCCACACUGGUACUGAGACACGGACCAGACUCCUACGGGAGGCAGCAGUGAGGAAUAUUGGUCAAUGGGCGAGAGCCUGAACCAGCCAAGUCGCGUGAAGGAAGAAGGAUCUAUGGUUCGUAAACUUCUUUUGCAGGGGAAUAAAAGUGCAGGACGUGUCCUGUUUUGUAUGUACCCUGAGAAUAAGGAUCGGCUAACUCCGUGCCAGCAGCCGAC
rnacentral:rRNA from 1 species